rnacentral:lncRNA from 1 species
GGCCCAGGACUCAAUGCUCCUGAUUAGGCAAGAGCCGGCAGCUGGUGGAGAGCUGAGUCCCUUUUCUAGAAGUAGAGUCCUACCUUUUCCUCCCCUCUCCCCUAGUGUAUCCUUUGCAGACCCUCGGACCUGGACACCGUUUGGUGCGCUUCUGUGGGCACAUUCCCCUACUGAUUCAUGCAUCUGUCAACUGAAGUAUCACGCCGCUGGUUGUAGGCCCUUUCAGCUGUGCUCUCUUCCUGAAGCCAUCUGUCGUGUCAACUAGUCAUGGAUAAAGAAGCCUCUGAGGUCAGUCCCAGCCCACCUACAGUGACCAUCAAGAAGAAAGAUAAAUGUGCAAGAUCCGAAAAGUUCUCCAAAAAUGUUCUGAUCUUUUUACUGGGGAUGGAUUAAAUGGGUUUCACUAUCUUUUUCAGGCCCUUUCAGCUGUGCUCUCUUCCUGAAGCCAUCUGUCGUGUCAACUAGUCAUGGAUAAAGAAGCCUCUGAGGUCAGUCCCAGCCCACCUACAGUGACCAUCAAGAAGAAAGAUAAAUGUGCAAGAUCCGAAAAGUUCUCCAAAAAUGUUCUGAUCUUUUUACUGGGGAGGCAGCUGGGGAGGCACAGGAGUGACGUGGACCUGUCAAAGUGGCUGUGGAUGCUGACAUGAGCUGCCCCAGGGUGGAGCUGGCCAUGGCCAGAGUCCUAAAACCUACCUGCUCAUGCCUGUCUGUAACUUUAGAAAAAAAUAAAAACAAGUAACAAACUCCUCCCUUGUUUCACCUGUUAAAAUAAAAGGUGACUGUCACCCCUUUUGUCUUGAUACGUUUUUACGCCAGUACAGUUUUCCUGGGUUACACUGGAGAGGG